AUUGAAUAUGCUUGCAACUAAAGGAUGCGCGGAUAAGAGUUAAGCAAGCAAUUUAUCUAAGUAAGUAAGUGUGUUAGUUAGACAAUGACAAGAGGCAUUACAAACACAACAAACAUAUAGUGGUUCGGUGCACCCCAGCACCUACAUCCACUCCCCAAGACCUCUUGGGAAUUUCACUAUAAUCCUACAGAUUACAGCCGGUUGUUUUACAAGCUCA
rnacentral:lncRNA from 1 species